CAGUGGCGCGUGCUUACACAUGCAAGUCGAGCGAUGAGAUCACUUCGGUGAAGGAUUAGCGGCGAACGGGUGAGGAACACGUGAAGAAUCUGCCUUCAACUCUGGGAUAACUCCGGGAAACCGGGGCUAAUACCGGAUAUGAGCCUUGAUCGCAUGAUCGGGGCUGGAAAGUUUUUCGGUUGAAGAUGACUUCGCGGCCUAUCAGCUUGUUGGUGAGGUAAUGGCUCACCAAGGCGACGACGGGUAGCCGGCCUGAGAGGGCGACCGGCCACACUGGGACUGAGACACGGCCCAGACUCCUACGGGAGGCAGCAGUGGGGAAUAUUGGGCAAUGGACGAAAGUCUGACCCAGCGACGCCGCGUGCGGGAUGAAGGCCUUCGGGUUGUAAACCGCUUUCAGCAGGGAAUAAGCGCAAGUGAAGGCACCUGCAGAAGAAGCACCGGCUAACUAUGUGCCAGCAGCCGCGGUAAUACAUAGGGUGCAAGCGUUGUCCGGAAUUAUUGGGCGUAAAGAGCUCGUAGGUGGUUUGUUACGUCGGAUGUGAAAUUCAGGGGCUCAACCCCUGACUUGCAUCCGAUACGGGCAAGCUAGAGUUUGGUAGGGGAGACUGGAAUUCCUGGUGUAGCGGUGGAAUGCGCAGAUAUCAGGAGGAACACCGAUGGCGAAGGCAGGUCUCUGGGCCAAUACUGACACUGAGGAGCGAAAGCGUGGGGAGCGAACAGGAUUAGAUACCCUGGUAGUCCACGCCGUAAACGGUGGGCGCUAGUUGUGCGAACCUUCCACGGUUUGUGCGACGCAGCUAACGCAUUAAGCGCCCCGCCUGGGGAGUACGAUCGCAAGAUUAAAACUCAAAGGAAUUGACGGGGCCCCGCACAAGCAGCGGAGCAUGCGGCUUAAUUCGACGCAACGCGAAGAACCUUACCAAGGCUUGACAUAUACAGGAAUAUGGCAGAGAUGUCAUAGCCGCAAGGUCUGUAUACAGGUGGUGCAUGGUUGUCGUCAGCUCGUGUCGUGAGAUGUUGGGUUAAGUCCCGCAACGAGCGCAACCCUC
rnacentral:rRNA from 1 species